AUGUUCAAGCUGGUUUUAGAAAAGGCAGAGGAACCAGAGAUCAAAUUGCCAACACCUGCUGGACCAUGGAAAAAGCAAGAGAGUUCCAGAAAAACAUCUAUUUCUGCUUUAUUGACUAUGCCAAAGCCUUUGACUGUGUGGAUCACAAGAAAAUGGAAAAUUCUGAGAGAGAUGGGAAUACCAGACCACCUGACCUGCCUCUUGAGAAACCUGUAUGCAGGUCAGGAAGCAACAGUUAGAACUGGACAUGGAACAACAGACUGGUUCCAAAUAGGAAAAGGAGUACGCCAAGGCUGUAUACUGUCACCCUGCUUAUUUAACUUAUAUGCAGAGUACAUCAUGAGAAAUGCUAGGCUGGAAGAAGCACAAGCUGGAAUCAAGAUUACUGGGAGAAAUAUCAAUAACCUCAGAUAUGCAGAUGACACCACCCUUAUGGCAGAAAGUGAAGAGGAACUAAAAAGCCUCUUGAUGAAAGUGAAAGAGGAGAGUGAAAAAGUUGGCUUAAAGCUCAACAUUCAGAAAAUGAAGAUCAUGGCAUCCAGUCCCAUCACUUCAUGGGAAAUAGAUGGGGAAACAGUGGAAACAGUGGCAGACUUUAUCUUUUGGGGCUCCAAAAUCACUGCAGAUGGUGACUGCAGCCAUGAAAUUAAAAGACGGUUACUCCUUGGAAGGAGAGUUAUGACCAACCUAGAUACCAUAUUGAAAAGCAGAGGCAUUAGUUUGCCAACAAAGGUCUGUCUAGUCAAGGCUAUGGUUUUUCCUGUGGUCAUGUAUGGAUGUGAGAGUUGGACUGUGAAGAAGGCUGAGCGCCGAAGAAUUCAUGCUUUUGAACUGUGGUGUUGGAGAAGACUCUUGAGAGUUCCUUGGACUGCAAGGAGAUCCAACCAGUCCAUUCUGAAGGAAAUCAGCCCUGGGAUUUCUUUGGAAGGAAUGAUGCUAAAGCUGAAGCUCCAGUACUUUGGCCACCUCAUGCAAAGAGUUGACUCAUUGGAAAAGACUCUGAUGUUGGGAGUGACUGGGGGCAGGAGGAGAAGGGGACGACAGAGGAUGAGAUGGCUGGAUGGCAUCAUGGACUCGAUGGACGUGAGUCUGAGUGAACUCUGGGAGAUGGUGAUGGACAGGGUGGCCUGGUGUGCUGGAGUCCAUGGGGUCCCAAAGAGUUGGACACAACUGAUCAACUGA
rnacentral:lncRNA from 1 species